rnacentral:rRNA from 1 species
UACGUAGGGGGCAAGCGUUGUCCGGAUUUAUUGGGCGUAAAGAGCGUGUAGGCGGUUUGGUAGGUCCGUUGUGAAAACUCGAGGCUCAACCUCGAGACGCCGAUGGAAACCAUCAGACUAGAGUCCGGAAGAGGAGAGUGGAAUUCCUGGUGUAGCGGUGAAAUGCGUAGAUAUCGGGAGGAACACCUGUGGCGAAAGCGGCUCACUGGACCACAACUGACGCUGAUGCACGAAAGCUAGGGGAGCAAACAGG